rnacentral:rRNA from 1 species
UACAGAGGGUGCAAGCGUUAAUCGGAAUGACUGGGCGUAAAGGGCGCGUAGGCGGUUGAUUGAGUGAGAGGUGAAAUACCCGGGCUUAACCUGGGAGGGUCCUCUCAUACUGGUCAGCUAGAGUUGAGAAGAGGAGAGCGGAAUUUCCGGUGUAGCAGUGAAAUGCGUAGAUAUCGGAAGGAACAUCAGUGGCGAAGGCGGCUCUCUGGUCUCAAACUGACGCUGAGGCGCGAAAGCAUGGGGAGCAAACAGG